rnacentral:rRNA from 1 species
CAGCAGCCGCGGUAAUACCUGCAGCCCAAGUGGUGGUCGAUUUUAUUGAGUCUAAAACGUUCGUAGCCGGUCUGAUAAAUCCUUGGGUAAAUCGGAAAGCUUAACUUUCCGAAUUCCGAGGAGACUGUCAGACUUGGGACCGGGAGAGGCUAGAGGUACUUCUGGGGUAGGGGUAAAAUCCUGUAAUCCUAGAAGGACCACCGGUGGCGAAGGCGUCUAGCUAGAACGGAUCCGACGGUGAGGGACGAAGCCCUGGGUCGCAAACGGGAUUAGAUACCCCGGUAGUCCAGGGUGUAAACGCUGCAGACUUGGUGUUGGAGACCCUUCGAGGGUAUCCAGUGCCGGAGAGAAGUUGUUAAGUCUGCUACUUGGGGAGUACGUCCGCAAGGAUGAAACUUAAAGGAAUUGGCGGGGGAGCACCGCAACGGGAGGAGCGUGCGGUUUAAUUGGAUUCAACACCGGAAAACUCACCAGGGGAGACUGUUACAUGAAACCCAGACUAAUGAUCUUGGUCGAUUUUCAGAGAGGAGGUGCAUGGCC